AAUGCGCGAAAGCGUGACGGAGCAAUGCCGCGUGCAGGAUGAAGCUUCUCGGAGUGUAAACUGCUGUCAGGGGCCAGCAACACAAUGAGCAACCCCAAAGGAAGGGCCGGCUAACUUCGUGCCAGCAGCCGCGGUAAUACGAAGGGCCCGAGCGUUAUUCGGAAUCACUGGGCUUAAAGCGUACGCAGGCGGACGCGCAGGCAUUGUGUGAAAUCCCUCCGCUCAACGGAGGAACUGCAUAGUGAACCGCGUGUCUUGAGACAGGUAGGGGCCAUCGGAACGAUAGGUGGAGCGGUGAAAUGCGUAGAUAUCUAUCGGAACGCCAAAGGAGAAAUCAGGUGGCUGGGCCUGUUCUGACGCUCAUGUACGAAAGCGUGGGGAGCGAACGGGAUU
rnacentral:rRNA from 1 species